CGUACACUCCUGCGGGAGGCAGCAGUGGGGAAUAUUGGACAAUGGGCGCAAGCCUGAUCCAGCCAUGCCGCGUGAGUGAUGAAGGCCCUAGGGUUGUAAAGCUCUUUCACCGGUGAAGAUAAUGACGGUAACCGGAGAAGAAGCCCCGGCUAACUUCGUGCCAGCAGCCGCGGUAAUACGAAGGGGGCUAGCGUUGUUCGGAUUUACUGGGCGUAAAGCGCACGUAGGCGGACUAUUAAGUCAGGGGUGAAAUCCCGGGGCUCAACCCCGGAACUGCCUUUGAUACUGGUAGUCUUGAGUUCGAGAGAGGUGAGUGGAAUUCCGAGUGUAGAGGUGAAAUUCGUAGAUAUUCGGAGGAACACCAGUGGCGAAGGCGGCUCACUGGCUCGAUACUGACGCUGAGGUGCGAAAGCGUGGGGAGCAAACAGGAUUAGAUACCCCUGUAGUCCC
rnacentral:rRNA from 1 species